UACAGAGGCCUCAAGCGUUAGGCGGAAUCACUGGGCUUAAAGCGCGUGUAGGUGGAUUUUUAGGUGCUUUGUGAAAUCCCACGGCUCAACCGUGGAACUGCUGAGCAUACUGGAAGUCUUGGGCUAUCUAGGGGCAACCGGAACAAGCGGUGGAGCGGUGAAAUGCGUAGAUAUCGCUUGGAACGCCAAAGGUGAAGACAGGUUGCUGGAGAUAUGCCGACACUGAGACGCGAAAGCCAGGGGAGCAAACGGG
rnacentral:rRNA from 1 species